ACUGAAAUUAUUUUUAUAGGAUCAUAGAAAGUGGUUUACACAAAUUCCUAGUUGUAUUAUUUUUUUCUUUUUGGUUGACUCAAGAGAGUAGUAGUUCACAUGUUUUAAUAUACAGUAUAUAAAAAGCAAUAUUGUCUUGAUUUACAGAACAACUCAAUAGAUGUUCAAAGGGAAUGUAUCCUCAAGGCCUUGUGCGUGUACUUCAGCGAAGACCACCAAGAGCUUGUAAAAGAAUACAUCGACUUGGAAGAGGCUGAGAAGAACAUGGGGCAGACAUUGAUGGCAGUGUACACAGUCAGGAGGGAGGGGGCCGAAGCUACUGAUGAACCUGCACAUGUAGGCAUUGUAAUUGAAGGGGUGGAAAAUGUGGCUCUAUGCUGUGCCAUGUUCUUUGGACUUAGGCCCUUAACCUCAGCUUUCCAGACAAACUAAAAUGCACCUUUGAAUUCAUACAGAAGGCUGUCAUGAAUCUGAGUGGACAAAGGCUGUCUCCUAAAGUGUUGGCCCUGAAAAACAAAUUAGUUCAGGAAUAGAUUGUGCACUUGUGCACCUUUUCAAUAAUUCAUAUCCUGAAUACAAUUGUAUGUAGAUUUUUUUGUGGCUUCAGCCUUAGUGUUUGACUAAGUUAUCUUGGAAUUUGCAGUUUUGCCAUUCCUUACUAAACAGUAAUAAUUGUAACUUGCACUUCUUUUUGUAAGUUCAUGUUUUUGAGGAUCGUUCAUGUUCAACUUUGUGUUGAUUAUACAUGGUGCACAUUUGCAGGCUCCGUUUCAUUUCAAAUUCACUUCUGCAAAGUUUUUAUUUUUUGUUUUUGGAACUGUGAUUUUCUAUAACUGAAUUUUACUGUUUUAUAAAAUGUACAGUUGGGUAAGUUUUUGGGUUGUGUAAAUGUUGAGACUGUUAGUAUUUGUCAUUUACUUGUAGCUCAGACAUUAGCAUGCAUGGUUCCGUUUGUACUUGACACUGCUGUUUUGUCACUGACAUGGAAAAAACUUGUUCAACCUGCAAUAACAGGUAUUUCUUAUUCACAAAGUAAUUGAUGGCUCAAAUAAAUAAACGAACAGUAAAAAUG